AGAGGGAAGGACAAAGAGAACUAAUGCAAGUUGAAAGGACGAAAAGAAGGCCGACAAACCGUCAAAGUUAUCGUCAUUGUCCGAUGUUGCUUCGUUUUCGUUUUCGUCUUUGUUUUUCAUUUUGUUU
rnacentral:ribozyme from 17 species